UACGGAGGUUCCUAGCGUUGUUCGGAAUUACUGGGCGUAAAGGGGGCGCAGGCGGAUUGAUAAGUCUAAAGUGGAAUCCCGGGGCUCAACCUCGGACGUGCUUUGGAUACUGUCAGUCUUGAGUUCGUGAGAGGAAAGCGGAAUUCAGGGUGUAGCGGUGAAAUGCUUAGAUAUCCUGAGGAACACCAGUGGCGAAAGCGGCUUUCUGGCACGAAACUGACGCUGAGGCUCGAAAGCGUGGGUAGCGAACGGG
rnacentral:rRNA from 1 species